rnacentral:rRNA from 1 species
ACACUCCUACGGGAGGCAGCAGUGGGGAAUAUUGCACAAUGGGCGCAAGCCUGAUGCAGCGACGCCGCGUGGGGGAUGAAGGCCUUCGGGUUGUAAACUCCUUUCGCUAGGGACGAAGCUUUUUUGUGACGGUACCUAGAUAAGAAGCACCGGCUAACUACGUGCCAGCAGCCGCGGUAAUACGUAGGGUGCGAGCGUUGUCCGGAAUUACUGGGCGUAAAGGGCUCGUAGGUGGUUUGUCGCGUCGUCUGUGAAAUUCUGGGGCUUAACUCCGGGCGUGCAGGCGAUACGGGCAUAACUUGAGUGCUGUAGGGGUAACUGGAAUUCCUGGUGUAGCGGUGAAAUGCGCAGAUAUCAGGAGGAACACCGAUGGCGAAGGCAGGUUACUGGGCAGUUACUGACGCUGAGGAGCGAAAGCAUGGGUAGCGAACAGGAUUAGAUACCCGUGUAGUCCCAUG